GACGAACGCUGGCGGCGUGCUUAACACAUGCAAGUCGGACGGAGUGGCGAACGGGUGAGUAACGCGUAGUCAACCUGCCCUUCAGAGGGGGACAACAGUUGGAAACGACGGCUAAUACCGCAUACUGAAGGAGGGGAUUGGGUCUGAUUGGCUAGUUGGAGGGGUAAAGGCCCACCAAGGCGAUGAUCCGUAGCCGGUCUGAGGGGAAGAACGGCCCCACUGGGACUGAGACACGGCCCAGACUCCUACGGGAGGCAGCAGGUGGGAAUCUUCCGCAAUGGACGGAAGUCUUACGGAGCAACGCCGCGUGAGUGAUAACGGCCUUCGGGUUGUAAAGCUCUGUUAAUCGGGACGCGGUACCGGAAUAGAAAGCCACGGCUAACUACGUGCCAGCAGCCGCGGUAAUUC
rnacentral:rRNA from 1 species